ACAAUCUUACUAAGCAAUUCAGUUGACCAAUAUCCCAGUGGUAGCCUUGGAAAUUUUACCCAAAGAGGGAUGGAUCUCAGACAAUCAGGGUCAAAUUUAUAGUCAAUACUCAAAUAUUCGAGAAUGAAUAGUUUAUUAUGAUAAGAGUAAGGCCCAUAGUGCAGGACAAGAUCUCGAUCCUCACAAUUUUGAACUGGAAUACAUAGUAACCAUAAAGGAUACGAGAUUUUGUCACAAAAUUCCAAACAUUCAUUGCGUAAUUCUCCAUAGAUUUCUCAUAAGGUGUAUCCCUAAUUACAUACCCGAUAAGAGAUGUUUUCCAGUAUUCUUCGUACUUGCAUAGGUCCUUCUCUACUAGCUCUACCACAAAAUUAUCAUUGCAAAUAGAAGGGGGAUGUAAUUGAUCUCCUUCCCCUUUUGAGAGUUCCUUACAUGAUGCUCAACAUUUUUUUCCUCCUUCUCUCGAGUCUUCUCUGGUGUAUGAUCUCCACUACCCCUGGCUGUGUUAUAUUACUCAGCCUAUAGAAAUGUAGAUGAUGGGGUACUGACAGUUACUUUCAUAUAGGCCCCUUAUAGCAUGCAUCAUCAGCUAAUUUCUCCCCAUCCUCUUCCUCAGCAAUUGGCCAAAAUUUUAGAGGAAAAAAGCUCCCAAAUGUGAGGGGUUAAAG
rnacentral:lncRNA from 1 species